rnacentral:lncRNA from 1 species
AUGCCAAAAAAGCAGAAAAAGUCACAAGCUGCAAAACAACGCUGGAAGAAGUUCCAUGAGUUUCACAAAGUACCAACAUGUGAACAAACUGAGUGUGAUUCUCCUCAGAGCUCUGCAGAAGACCGUGUGUCUGCAAAGACCAAUGCUGAUGGUGUCAAACAGGCAGGUCGACAUGUUCCUGCACAUGUAAAACAGGUAUCCUAUGCAGAUGCUGUAAAGACUGGAUUGCAGCAUGCAUUUAAUGAACAUCAGGUAAACCAUAGAGACCAACCUGAGGUGUCAAGUGCCCCGCAGGUGGGUUAUGCUGAUAUUGUGAAAAGAGGCCAUCACAGUGAUGUGGCAGGGCCAUCUCAUGCAGAAAGAGUGAACCUUGAAAACCAGCCCUCUGUAACACAUGUCUGUGCAUCUCACAGUCAGGCUCAUCCCAAAUAUGGAGACUCCAGAAACAGUCAGUGCACAUGUAACUCACUCACAUUUCUUGCUUUCCUUCAUGAGAAUGAAAACAUAACUACAGCUGACCUUAAUCUGGUCUUGGAUAAAGGUGAUGUGAUGUACAAAGAGGCCAAGAAAAGAUUCCCCAAGAGUAUUCAUUUGGCAACCGAUGAGCUGCCAGACAAAGUUGAUGCUCGCAGGUCUAUGUAUCAUGUCGACAUGACACAGCCUUCCCGGUAUGGGACAUUUGAAGAACCUCCAGAGGAGGCAGUAGAUACCUUUCUCAGCUUAGAAGCAGGACUGAGCUGCCUGUUGUCAGAUGUGCAGUAUGCCUUACUGAUUAUGAGUGGAUUGUGUAUCGCAGUGUUCAGAUCCACAUCAGGCAAAUAUGGUUUCUUUGAUCCACACUCCAGAACAGCCAGUGGUCUUCCUCUACCACUACAGUCACGUAAUCGUGGUACAGCUGUGAUGCUGAAAUUUACACUCCUCAGUGACAUGAUUAAGAGGCUCCAGGAUUCUUAUGAAGGGAUGGAGAUAUCACCCUCUUGUACCUAUGAACUGAAGCCUGUGCAGUUCUACAGUAUGAGCACAGUCAACCUGAGUGAUACUAUCACAGACACAGUCUGCAGAUCAACAGCUGCCACUGCUGUGGCACCUACUCACUCUGAUACAACUGUUGAUGAAGCAAACUCCUCUACUCCAAGGAGAAACACAACCACUGGUCUGACUGAGAACAUCUUUUGUCAAAUGUCCAUUUGUACGCCACUGGUGAAACAAAAAGAAGUCCACAUGACUAAUUUCACAUCAUAUGAAGAUCAGAAUGAACCUCCUAAUAUACCAACUGAAGAACUAUGCAGUGAAUUAAAUUUCUUUCCAUCAAAUGAUGCUUUUUCAUGUCAAUCAAAUGCUGCAAUAACAAAUGUUGCUGCCUGUGAUCUUUCUGAUAUAGUUUUACAAAACUGA